rnacentral:rRNA from 1 species
CAGGCUUAACACAUGCAAGUCGAACGGUUGUAGCAAUACAGCAGUGGCAGACGGGUGAGUAACACGUGGGAACCUUCCUAGGGGUACGGAACAACUCAGGGAAACUUGAGCUAAUACCGUAUACGUCCGUGAGGAGAAAGAUUUAUCGCCCUUAGACGGGCCCGCGUCGGAUUAGCUAGUUGUGGGGUAACGGCCUACCAAGGCGACGAUCCGUAGCUGAUCUUAGAGGAUGAUCAGCCACACUGGGACUGAGACACGGCCCAGACUCCUACGGGAGGCAGCAGUGGGGAAUCUUGGACAAUGGGCGCAAGCCUGAUCCAGCCAUGCCGCGUGAGUGAAGAAGGUCUUCGGAUUGUAAAGCUCUUUUGCCAGGGACGAUAAUGACGGUACCUGGAGAAUAAGCCCCGGCAAACUUCGUG